AGGAAAAGAAAAUAAUAAUGAUUCCCCAAGUAGUGGCGAGCGAACGGGGAUUAGCCCAAACCAAUGUUGUUACGGCAAUAUUGGGGUUGUAGGACCACGUUGUCGCAAGACAUUCAGUGAGAAGAAUUCUUUGGAAAAUGAAACCAUAGACGGUGAUAGUCCGGUAUUCGAAGCUGAACGAAGCGUAGUGGUAUCCUGAGUAGCGCGGGACACGAGGAAUCUUGCGUGAACCAGCCGGGACCAUCCGGUAAGGCUAAAUACUCCCGAGAGACCGAUAGCGAACCAGUACUGUGAAGGAAAGGUGAAAAGCACUUCGAAUAGAAGAGUGAAAUAGUCCCUGAAACCAUGCGCCUACAAGCGGUCGGAGCAGCUUAUGCUGUGACGGCGUGCCUUUUGCAUAAUGAACCUACGAGUUACUUUUUCCGGCAAGGUUAAGGAUCUGGAGAUCCGUAGCCGAAGCGAAAGCGAGUCUGAACAGGGCGAUAAGUCGGAAGGAGUAGACGCGAAACCAAGUGAUCUACCCUUGGCCAGGUUGAAGGUUAGGUAACACUAACUGGAGGACCGAACCGAUAAGCGUUGAAAAGCUUCCGGAUGAGCUGAGGGUGGGGGUGAAAGGCUAAUCAAACUUGGAGAUAGCUCGUACUCCCCGAAAUGCAUUUAGGUGCAGCCUUGUGAGUUACUAAUGUGAGGUAGAGCGACUGAUAAGAUGCGAGGGCUUCACCGCCUAUCAAGUCUUGAUAAACUCCGAAUGCGCAUUAGUUCUAUCACAGGAGUGAGGGCAUGGGUGCUAAGGUCCAUGUCCUAAAGGAGAAGAAUCCGGACCAUCAGCUAAGGUCCCGAAAUAGAUACUAAGUUGAACUAACGAAGUCAGAUUGCUAAGACAGCUAGGAUGUUGGCUUGGAAGCAGCCAUUCAUUUAAAGAGUGCGUAACAGCUCACUAGUCGAGGAGUUUGGCGUGGAUAAUAAUCGGGCAUCAAGUAUCUUACCGAAGCUAUGGGAUCAUUAAUGAUCGGUAGGGGAGCAUUCCACUCCGCGUCGAAGGUGAAGCGUGAGCUUUGCUGGAGCGUGUGGAAAAGCAAAUGUAGGUAUAAGUAACGAUAAAGGGGGUGAGAAACCCCCUCGCCGAAAGACUAAGGUUUCCUGAUCAACGCUAAUCGGAUCAGGGUUAGUCGGGUCCUAAGGCUCAGCCGAACGGUGAGGCCGAUGGCAGAACAGGUUAAUAUUCCUGUACUACCUUAAGGAGUGACGUGGAGACGGAGUCGUGACAACGCCGCGGACUGACGGAAUAGUCCGUUGAAGGGUGUAGAUGUUGAUUGUGGCAGGCAAAUCCACCACGAGAGUCGAACCUGAUAGUAUACCAAUUCCUUCGGGAAACGGUAAUAGUGCGUGUAAACAUACUCCCGAGAAAAUCCGCUAAACUUAAUCCUUGAGGUACCCGUACCGCAAACGGACACACGUAGUCGGGUUGAAUAUACUAAGGCGCUUGAGUGAUUCACGGUUAAGGAACUAGGCAAAUUGACCCUGUAACUUCGGGAUAAAGGGUCCCAACGAGAGUUGGGCGCAGAGAAUAGGUCCAGGCAACUGUUUAACAAAAACACAGGGCUGUGCCAAAUUGAAAGAUCACGUAUACAGCCUGACACCUGCCCGGUGCUGGAAGGUUAAGAGGAGAUGUCAUCGCAAGAGAAGCAUUGAAUUGAAGCCCCAGUAAACGGCGGCCGUAACUAUAACGGUCCUAAGGUAGCGAAAUUCCUUGUCGGGUAAGUUCCGACCUGCACGAAUGGUGUAAUGAUCUGGACACUGUCUCAACCGUGAGCUCAGUGAAAUUGUAGUAUCGGUGAAGAUGCCGAUUACCCGCGAUGGGACGAAAAGACCCCGUGAACCUUUACUAUAGCUUAACAUUGAAUUUGGGUAAUUGAUGUGUAGGAUAGGCCGGAGACUUUGAAGCGCAGACGCCAGUUUGUGUGGAGUCGCUGUUGAAAUACGGCCCUUUGAUUAUUUGAGUUCUAACCCGUUGUAACGGGGACACUGUUUGGUGGGUAGUUUGACUGGGGUGGUCGCCUCCAAAAGUGUAACGGAGGCUUCUAAAGGUGCCCUCAGGACGAUUGGUAACCGUCCGUAGAGUGUAAUGGCAUAAGGGCGCUUGACUGGGAGACAUACAAGUCGAUCAGGUAGGAAACUAGAGCAUAGUGAUCCGGUGUUUCCGCAUGGAAGGGACAUCGCUCAAAGGAUAAAAGGUACUCCGGGGAUAACAGGCUGAUCCCUCCCAAGAGCUCAUAUCGACGGAGGGGUUUGGCACCUCGAUGUCGGCUCGUCACAUCC
rnacentral:rRNA from 1 species